rnacentral:rRNA from 1 species
CGAGUCCUCAACUGACGCUAAUGCUCGAAAGUGCGGGUAUCGAACAGGAUUAGAUACCCUGGUAGUCCGCACGGUAAACGAUGGAUGCCCGCUGUUGGCGAUAUACUGUCAGCGGCCAAGCGAAAGCGUUAAGCAUCCCACCUGGGGAGUACGCCGGCAACGGUGAAACUCAAAGGAAUUGACGGGGGCCCGCACAAGCGGAGGAACAUGUGGUUUAAUUCGAUGAUACGCGAGGAACCUUACCCGGGCUUGAACUGCAGGAGAACGAUACAGAGAUGUUGAGGUCCUUCGGGACUCCUGUGGAGGUGCUGCAUGGUUGUCGUCAGCUCGUGCCGUGAGGUGUCGGCUUAAGUGCCAUAACGAGCGCAACCCCUUCCGUCAGUUGCCAUCACUUUGGGUGGGCACUCUGGCGGUACUGCCACCGUAAGGUGUGAGGAAGGUGGGGAUGACGUCAAAUCAGCACGGCCCUUACGUCCGGGGCUACACACGUGUUACAAUGGGUGGUACAGAGAGUCGGCCGCAUGCAAAUUCGGUCUAAUCAUGAAAGCCAUCCUCAGUUCGGAUUGGGGUCUGCAACCCGACCCCAUGAAGCUGGAUUCG